UAGUAUAGUUUAACAAAAACAUUAGGCCGUGACCCUAAAAAUAGAAGCUUACCCCUUC
rnacentral:tRNA from 1 species